AAACCCGAAAGGCGUAAUAAAAGUAAAAGGGUGGAAUUUUUGUAUACUUGUAUACAAUGUCCCCCGAGGAAAGAUGGAAUGAUUAUUUUUAACAGUAAUUGUUAAGGCAGUUAUUUGUUAUUAAUAUAGAUUUCCCGCAUUCCCGGGGCGCUUGUUUUUUGCUUUGCAAAUCAAUGCGCACCUAGAGCGUACACGCUGAUACCCGAAAGAUGGUGAACUAUGCCUGGCCAGGACGAAGCCAGGGGAAACCCUGGUGGAGGUCCGCAGCGAUUCUGACGUGCAAAUCGAUCGUCGGAGCUGGGUAUAGGGGCGAAAGACCAAUCGAACCAUCUAGUAGCUGGUUCCCUCUGAAGUUUCCCUCAGGAUAGCUUGCGCUCGGUUGAGACGAGUCUCAUCCGGUAGAGCGAAUGAUUAGAGGCAUUGGGGUCGAAACGACCUCAACCUAUUCUCAAACUCCAAAUAGAUGAGACCCCCGGCUUUCUUAAAAUUGAAGCCGUGGGAUUUUGAUCAGAGUGCCAAGUGGGCCAAUUU
rnacentral:rRNA from 1 species